GCUAAUGCUUAUGUUACAAAGAAUCUCAUCCGGUAGAGCGAAUGAUUAGAGGUAUUGGGGUCGAAACGGCCUCAACCUAUUCUCAAACUCCAAAUAGAUGAGAACCCCGGCUUUCUUAAAUGAGUGAAGCCGUGGGAAUUUUUGUGGAUCAGAGCAUUAAGUGGGCCAAUUUUGGUAAGCAGAACUGGCGCUGUGG
rnacentral:rRNA from 1 species